rnacentral:tRNA from 1 species
UGCUCCUUUAACUCAGUGGUUAGAGUUCGGUUCUUAUACAGCCGCGGUCCUUGGUUCGAAUCCAAGAAGGAGUAU